GAUCAUGGCUCAGGAUGAACGCUGGCGGCGUGCUUAACACAUGCAAGUCGAACGGGAAGUACUUUAUUGAAACUUCGGUCGAUUUAAUUUAUUUCUAGUGGCGGACGGGUGAGUAACGCGUGGGUAACCUGCCUUAUACUGGGGGAUAACAGCCAGAAAUGACUGCUAAUACCGCAUAAGCGCACAGAACCGCAUGGUUCCGUGUGAAAAACUCCGGUGGUAUAAGAUGGACCCGCGUUGGAUUAGCUAGUUGG
rnacentral:rRNA from 1 species